AUUUGCAGCCCCCACAGCUGCAAUCACCGCAGGAAAGAGACAGAGAUAGGAUCAGAGAACUGCUUUCCCUGCUAUCAGGCUGGCUCAGCGUGGGACAUGCCCGGACUACUCCCUCUCCCACAGAGGGCUAUUUGGGGCCAAGGCAUCAAGUGACGCAACGGAGAAGGAUGCCUCCCGGCUCCAUUGUUCUCUGUAGGAAGUGCCCGUGUUUCAGGAAGCGUAAUGGAGACAGUCGCCUACUUUCUUCCAACCCGGGGACAUUUAUUAUAUUUUUUCCUCUCCGUUUUUAAUUUUUUUUUAAUAAACAAGAGAGAGCUUGCGCAUCUCAGAGCCUCCGGCCACAGCGCGUGUUGUGUGCUCUCCACCCCGUGUGGCUGUGUGAAAGGAAGCGAGCAGACAAUGAGCUGAAGGAAGGUGCUGUGCUGUUCAGUGGCUGGAAGGUUUUGCGGUUGUUCACGGGGGACUUUUUGUUAGCAUUAAACAGCGCUUCAGUCUGCUCA